rnacentral:lncRNA from 1 species
GAAAAGUCAACCUCACUGCUGUCCCUUUGGGACACCAACGCAGUGGCAGUUAGCAAGCAAGCGUGGUGAUCACGAUUCUAGAGAAAGCAGCAAUCUUGGCAUUGUCUCAGUGUGUCUUCACUAGACGCCACAGAAGAAGGAAGUCAAAGAUGUAGUGGAGGCAGUGAGUGGGAGAAGAAGAACAGGACGAGUGAGUCAGCUGAGCUUCACGGUGCUUCAGUCUGAGGUGGUGGACGGUUGUCAAGCGAAACCUAUGCAGCAACGACAUACACUGGAUCCCACUCCCUGGGCGUCUUCUAUCUGUCUCAGCUCACUCACUUUGAGAGGUGAUCGCUCAGCGUGGACCCGUCUGACUGACUGCCUGAUCGCCGGUUGGUGAUACUUGUUGACACUGCAGGA